rnacentral:rRNA from 1 species
GACGAACGCUGGCGGCGCGCUUAACACAUGCAAGUCGAACGGAAAGGCCUGCUUUCCCUUGUGGAUUGCGGGUACUCGAGUGGCGAACGGGUGAGUAACACGUGAGUGAUCUGCCCCCAACUUGGGUAUAAGCCUGGGAAACUGGGUCUAAUUCCCGAUAGGACUGCAGGGUGGUGCCUGUGGUGGAAAACGAUUUUCUAGUGGUUGGGGAUGAGCUCGCGGCCUAUCAGCUUGUUGGUGGGGUAAUGGCCUACCAAGGCGGCGACGGGUAGCCGGCCUGGGAGGGUGGACGGCGACAUUGGGACUGGGAGACGGCCCAGACGCCUGCGGGAGGCAGCAGUGGGGAAGAUUGCGCGAUGGGCGGAAGCCUGAUGCAGCGACGCCGCGUGGGGGAUGACGGCCUUCGGGUUGUAGACUCCUUUCGACCGCGAGGAAGCCACCUGGUUGGAAGGGUGGUGACGGUAGUGGUAGAAGAAGCACCGGCUAACUACGUG